rnacentral:RNase_P_RNA from 1 species
AUGGCUGGAUGAUCGCACUUUAAUGUGAGGAAAGUCCGGGCUCCAUGAGACACAGUGCCGGGUAACACCCGGCGAGGGUGACCUUAGGGAAAGUGCCACAGAAAAUAUACCGCCAUUUUGGUAAGGGUGAAAAGGUGUGGUAAGAGCGCACCGCGGAUAUGGUAACAUAUUUGGCAAGGCAAACCCCACUGGGAGCAAGACCAAAUAGGAAUAACGUAAUAAAUGUCUCUUUUAAUGUUAUUCGGGUAGGUUGCUAGAGGUUUAUGGCGACAUAAGUCCAAGAUGAAUGAUCAUCACCACUAUUAGUGGAUACAGAACCCGGCUUAUAAGCCAUCUG